CUCAAUUUGAGCUUGUCAAGACUCAAGAGUUGCUGCGGAACACUAGGACUGGACAAGAUGAGCCGAAACUAUGGAUCAAAUAACAGUGCAAAACCCAAAUAUGCAGGCCUGCAAUUGAAGAACAGACUUGUGAAGGCACAAGAGAUCAAUACUUGCAGCUCUCCAGCCCAGCAUAAACAACUCUUUCCAGAAAAAAAAAAAAAAAAAGCAGUGCAUAUGUUCACCAGCAUGGCAGGGGAUCAGCUGGGAGAGUAAUUGAAGAAAUCCAUCAAAUGUCCAACCAAAAUUGUAUCAGCAGAAUAGGAGCAUCGAAACAGAGAUCUAUUACUCUAUAUACUAGUUUGCUCAGAUGCUUCUGUCUAAUUUAUGCUCA